rfam:Pan troglodytes isolate Yerkes chimp pedigree #C0471 (Clint) chromosome 7, whole genome shotgun sequence.
GCUGGGUGCGGUGGCCCACGCCUGUAAUCCCAGCUACUCGGGAGGCUGAGGCAGGAGAAUCACUUGAACCCGGGAGGUGGAGGUUGCGGUGAGCCGAGAUGGUGCCACUGCAUUCCAGCCUGGGUGACAGAGUGAGACACUGUCUCAA